CUUCCAAGUACUCAUGUAUUCUAGAGAAAGUCCCCAAACACAACUGCCCAGAAUGGCUCUCUAUUUCUAAGUUACCCAUUUCUGAUAAUCUAGGUGGAUUCUCCUGUUUUUCUUCCUCCUCGUCUUCUAAGUAAAUUUUUUUUUUUAGUCUUUUAGUAUUGUUGCCAACACCACAUCUAAGAAUUUGUCCUCUGGCUUUCCUGGUACUCAGAACUUUUCACACCCUGGGAGGUAAGUUGCUUUCUAAGGAUAUUCCAGAAAGUGAGGAGCAUUUGAUCAGGAUUUGUUAGUUAUAAUUGUUGUGGUCAGUCGAAAGACAAGAGGUUUUUAAAUACCUUGAAUAUCAGGGCUGACAGGCUUAGUCAUGUUUGGUUUGGAGAACUGACCAUUUUGUCACUUGGAGUGAGGAAGAGGAGGUAGAAGAGGUGGGUUAGUGCUGGGGUUCAUUCUCAUUGGAGGACGUGGCUCUCUACAGUGGGGCACUCAUGUUUAUUUGAACUGAUGCUGAUGGAGGAGUCUCCUGUGGGUGCUUCCCUAGCUUCCCCCCUGCCCUUCUGGCAGGUUCCUCUUCCUAAUAAGGCUGUGGCAAAAACUGGGAGUUGGAGUCAGAACCGAUGCGAUGUCCUGUCCUCACUGCCAGCCCCUCCUGAGCCUCCUGCACUGGAUCUCCUUCCCCACAGCUUCUCAGUGUUGGAGGGCUCUGGAACCCUGUCCUGAGACCUCUUCUCUGGUCCAGCUAACCUCAUUUCCCAGAUUGUUUGAUUAUGGGAUCAAGCUGCAAUUUCCUCUGACCUUCUUGAGAACUGUGUACCCAUUUAGAACCCACAUUAGAGCUUUUCCAGAAUGGUUUUCCUUGGGCAUUUUAAUCCCCCUCUGAAAGACACCCCGACUCACUGGCUGCAGAGGCUCCAGUACUUCUGCUUCAAUAGCCGGUUCUUCCUGGUGGAGAUGGAGGACUCUGUGUUCAGUGGAAUAACACCAUGAUGGUGACCACAAGUGAACCCAGCCUCAUUCUCUUCACGGCUCCUUCCUUGACAUGCUGGCUUCAGCUGCCUCAUUUCUGUUCUCAGCAGUUCACAGGGUAGUC